GGCUCAGGACGAACGCUGGCGGCGUGCUUAACACAUGCAAGUCGAACGAUGAACCACUUCGGUGGGGAUUAGUGGCGAACGGGUGAGUAACACGUGGGCAAUCUGCCCUUCACUCUGGGACAAGCCCUGGAAACGGGGUCUAAUACCGGAUACCACUACCACGGGCAUCUGUGGUGGUUGAAAGCUCCGGCGGUGAAGGAUGAGCCCGCGGCCUAUCAGCUUGUUGGUGAGGUAAUGGCUCACCAAGGCGACGACGGGUAGCCGGCCUGAGAGGGCGACCGGCCACACUGGGACUGAGACACGGCCCAGACUCCUACGGGAGGCAGCAGUGGGGAAUAUUGCACAAUGGGCGAAAGCCUGAUGCAGCGACGCCGCGUGAGGGAUGACGGCCUUCGGGUUGUAAACCUCUUUCAGCAGGGAAGAAGCGAAAGU
rnacentral:rRNA from 1 species